rnacentral:lncRNA from 13 species
GUCCCAACAUUCAACGGUAGCGCCAGUCGCAUACUUGGCGUCCUCGUGAGGGUUUCGUGAUUUUGUGUCGUUCUUCACUUUCGUAAGAGUUCCGCGGCGUCAGUGACAACAGAAAAGCUGUGGCACGCACGUACGCAACGUGUCUUCACUAUUUCCGCAGGACAAUAAACGGAGUGGAAAAUGAGCCAAACGGAUCAAGACAAAAGUAUGGACAAAAAGAAGAUCGCCGAGGAGGAGAGAGAGAAAAUGCUGAAUGCUGAGAAUACGAAGCACGGCGCCGCACCUGCGCCUGAUCUCGAAUCUGAGGAGCAGAAACCAAAGAAGAAAA